ACCUUACUACUUGGAUAACCGUGGUAAUUCUAGAGCUAAUACAUGCUAAAAACCUCGACUUCGGAAGGGGUGUAUUUAUUAGAUAAAAAACCAAUGCCCUUCGGGGCUCCUUGGUGAUUCAUAAUAACUUAACGAAUCGCAUGGCCUUGUGCCGGCGAUGGUUCAUUCAAAUUUCUGCCCUAUCAACUUUCGAUUGUAGAGUAGUGGUCUACAAUGGUUUCAACGGGUAACGGGGAAUUAGGGUUCUAUUCCGGAGAGGGAGCCUGAGAAACGGCUACCACAUCCAAGGAAGGCAGCAGGCGCGCAAAUUACCCAAUCCCGACACGGGGAGGUAGUGACAAUAAAUACUGAUACAGGGCUCUUUUGGGUCUUGUAAUUGGAAUGAGUACAAUCUAAAUCCCUUAACGAGGAACAAUUGGAGGGCAAGUCUGUGCCAGCAGCCGCGGUAAUUCCAGCUCCAAUAGCGUAUAUUAAAGUUGUUGCAGUUAAAAAGCUCGUAGUUGAACCUUGGGCCUGGCUGGCCGGUCCGCCUCACCGCGUGCACUGGUCCGGCCGGGUCUUUCCUUCUGAGGAGCCGCAUGCCCUUCACUGGGUGUGUCGGGGAAUCAGGACUUUUACUUUGAAAAAAUUAGAGUGUUCAAAGCAGGCCUAUGCUCGAAUACAUUAGCAUGGAAUAAUAGAAUAGGACGUGUGGUUCUAUUUUGUUGGUUUCUAGGACCGCCGUAAUGAUUAAUAGGGAUAGUCGGGGGCAUCAGUAUUCAAUUGUCAGAGGUGAAAUUCUUGGAUUUAUUGAAGACUAACUACUGCGAAAGCAUUUGCCAAGGAUGUUUUCAUUAAUCAGUGAACGAAAGUUAGGGGAUCGAAGACGAUCAGAUACCGU
rnacentral:rRNA from 1 species